rnacentral:sRNA from 1 species
UCUGAACGAUGCAAGUCCACGAGAAUGGGGCCGCAAGGCUCCUAGUAAAGUGGCGAACGGGUGAGUAACACGUGCGUAACCUGCCUUUGGAAGGGGGAUAACACCUCGAAAGAGAUGCUAAUACCCCAUAGAGUUGUGUGGCAUAGGUCAUGCAAUGAAAGAUAGCCUCUAUUCAAAGCUGUUGUCCAAAGAUGGGCGCGCGGCCUAUUAGCUAGUUGGUGAGGUAAUGGCUCACCAAGGCGACGAUGGGUAGCCGUCCUUAGAGGGUUGUCGGCCAUACUGGAAUUGAGAUACGGUCCAGACUCCUACGGGAGGCAGCAGUGGG